rnacentral:rRNA from 1 species
UGCUCUUCCACAAAGCGGGUGAUACCACCGAGUAUGAGAUACAUCCCCAUGAUCAUGGUCAGCUCCGCGCCCGACCAAGCCAACCGGAACAGUACAAGACCUGUGAUCAACCCAGCGAUGAUGGAAUAGAGCUGGGUAUUGUGCAGCCGGAUGCCACCCAGACCGGAUAUCGCACAGACGCGUGAAUGCGGGUUGGUGUAACAGAUGCCACCUCCAGGCUGAUCGGUCGAUCGACCAUGACAGCAGCCUU